rnacentral:rRNA from 1 species
AGAGUUUGAUCCUGGCUCAGAUUGAACGCUGGCGGCAGGCCUAACACAUGCAAGUCGAGCGGUAGCACAAGAGAGCUUGCUCUCUGGGUGACGAGCGGCGGAAGGGUGAGUAAUGUCUGGGAAACUGCCUGAUGGAGGGGGAUAACUACUGGAAACGGUAGCUAAUACCGCAUAACGUCUUCGGACCAAAGUGGGGGACCUUCGGGCCUCACGCCAUCAGAUGUGCCCAGAUGGGAUUAGCUAGUAGGUGGGGUAAUGGCCCACCUAGGCGACGAUCCCUAGCUGGUCUGAGAGGAUGACCAGCCACACUGGAACUGAGACACGGUCCAGACUCCUACGGGAGGCAGCAGUGGGGAAUAUUGCACAAUGGGCGCAAGCCUGAUGCAGCCAUGCCGCGUGUGUGAAGAAGGCCUUCGGGUUGUAAAGCACUUUCAGCGAGGAGGAAGGGUAGUGUGUUAAUAGCACAUUGCAUUGACGUUACUCGCAGAAGAAGCACCGGCUAACUCCGUGCCAGCAGCCACGGUAAUACGGAGGGUGCAAGCGUUAAUCGGAAUUACUGGGCGUAAAGCGCACGCAGGCGGUUUGUUAAGUCAGAUGUGAAAUCCCCGCGCUUAACGUGGGAACUGCAUUUGAAACUGGCAAGCUAGAGUCUUGUAGAGGGGGGUAGAAUUCCAGGUGUAGCGGUGAAAUGCGUAGAGAUCUGGAGGAAUACCGGUGGCGAAGGCGGCCCCCUGGACAAAGACUGACGCUCAGGUGCGAAAGCGUGGGGAGCAAACAGGAUUAGAUACCCCGGUAGUCC